CACUCUCAAUCCAAAUAAAUUUAUAAACCAUUUGUGCAAGCAACCUCCAAAGCUGAUAGGAUCCCCCACAACUCACCCAUGCAUGAUGACAUUUGAGGAACCUAUGUUUCGAACAAAACCAAGAGUCCAUAUGCUAGCAGAAUUACGAGAGUUUGAGAUUAGUUUAAAUCCAAUCCUGUAAACUUUGAACGUUAAAGAGUUGCUUUAAACAUUCUCUUUUUCCCUUUAUCUCCAAUCUAUUUGGUUUUCUCUCUAUUAUCUGAAUAGUAACAUUCCUCGCUCGGAACUUAUUGAAAAUCUAGGUUGUAAGUAAUAUUCCAAUACUUAUGAGAGCAUCAUUUUCUUAAUUCGUCCAUGAGUUUGGUUACCCCGUGCAAAUCCGAACUUUUAAUACCACACCCUCUACUACAGUUGGAAACCAACGGGAGAAGAGUGACUUAAAAUCAGUGUGUGGAUGGUGCUUUCUCGAGUACAAGUCCUCAAGGAGCAUGCGGGGUGGCUGCCAAAGACCACAAUGGUAUGUUUCUUUACGGGUUCUCUUAUUCUCUUGGAACAUGCACCAAUGGUCAGAUCUACGUUCUUAAAAUUGUAGUGAAAAGAGGCUUCACAUAGGCCAGACUGUUUUGAUUCUCACUCUUACGUCAAGAUUUUAAAGGAAGAUCAUUAGGGUCGUCAUUUGUGCCAUCAACUUGUCCAAUUUUUCGAUCCAUUGAAGCAUCUAGUGAUCUAGGAACAAAAAUGACUAUCCAACAUGUUUAGCUAUAGAAUUCAAUUCAGUAGCAAAUCUUCGUACUAAGAAUGAGGCUGCUAGGAAUUUGGGCUUGAGAUUGUAUGAAGUUGUUAGGCCUCUUAUAAGUAAAUAUUAUAAGAGGAGUGCCAAGACUUAGGUUUUAUUAUAGGACUGAAUUGUUUUAGCAGUUAUUAAAUAUUUUAGCAGUUAUUGUUGUAAUUGUUUUAGCAGUUAUUAAUUAUUUUAGCAGUUA